CCCCUCUGGAAACCCUAGCUUCCCUCCCCAUCUCCCGUCUUCGCGCCGCCACCCUCUUCCCCCUCCCCUUUUAUUUCUUCUCUGCAAACCACCGAGAGCCUCCGCCACCGGCCGCCGUUGGCCCCGUCGCUACGGACCUUCCCUCGCCGUUCUGAGGGCACCAUCGGGUGCGCCUCGUCUUACUCUACCUCAUGCUGCAAGGAAUCGACCCCGGGCCCCUCAAUUUGACGCCAAAUCGCGGUUCCCUUCUCCGACUCCGGCGGCGUCUGUCGUCGAUUCUGGCGCCGUUCGCCCACCUCCGGCCAUGCCGACCCCUUCUCGAGCUUCAGGGUCUCUGACGUCGGCAGCCCUCCGGUGAGCCCCUCCACGCGCCACCGUCUCCAUCUUGUCCGCGCCGCCAAGGCGUACCCCCGACGGUCAUCGACGCCUCCUGGAACCAGCUACAUCACCCGCACGCGCCGUGCCGUCUUGCAGAUGGUCACCGCCGUCCCGCGCGGCAUCCCUCCGUCGAACACGUUCCGUGCAGCCGCGCAAGCUUCGCCACGGUGUCAGCCACGCUGGCAUCGCGGGCCCCUUCGUCAGUCUCUGUGGCUCAACUUUGUUUCGAUCCAGCCAACGUCCAUGUCAGCAGCGCCCGGGCCCGCGCGUCAGUGACCCAGGCUGUCUUCCCCUUCGCAUUUGCUUCUUCUCGGAUAGGAUCACGAAGUGUUAAUGUGAGAUACGUCGAGUUCUCCGACAAGUUCUUCUGCAGCUUUCACAGGCGAGCCCACCCCUUCACCUAUUUUACUUUUACAUGCUCUUUUGAUCUAUUGCUAUCCUUAUGUUGCGAUUCUGUUGUGUCACGUGUCCUAUCCACCUGUUACCUAUAUGUCCGAGAUACACCUCCUCGCCCUACCUAUUGUUUGUUGUUUGCCAGCUUUGCGAGUCGUAGGCGAGUUUAGGGUCUUGUUGAUAUCUCGAGAUGUUCGGGAUAUCUUGUUGGGAAGUUGACACAUGUACCACCUUUUGAAAAUGAUGUUGAUAACUUUUGCUACAACUAAAAUUGCUAAGGGAUAAUAACAUUGCAGAGGCAUCUGUGAGCUCCUUUGCGAAAGCAUUGGAACUUUGACUCGCUAAUGUCCCCUAGGACCCGAGUUCUUGUUAUCUGUUCCGAGAUUGAGCGCUCUACCCAUGCGUGGGGACGAUUAUUGGGACCCCCCCUCACCCAUUACCUUUUCUCAAGUCAGUUGAAAAGGGGGCCACAACCUUGGUUUUAUUUGCCUAUGCCA